rnacentral:rRNA from 1 species
ACAUAACACUAUACUACCCUGAACACACCAGAGUAGAUUUCAGAAGCUAAGCUGGGUAAGGCCUGGCUAGUACUUGGGCUGGGAGAUCACCAGGAAAUACCAGGGAUCUA